CUUUAAUGUGAACCAGCCUCACGCAGGAGCAAAUGCAUGCUGGGGAAAACGUCCUAACUACGACACUUGCAUUCAUGGCCAGAGGAGUCCAAUCUGCGUUGGAACAGGCAAACACGGGUACAUCUACGAACUUAGUCGGGUACGUUUUUCAGCUUUUGUACUCAUCCACAAACACUCAGAUAUUGUGUAUAGCCUGUAACUCGUCUUGAUGAAAACGUCGCAACAUGAUAUACAUUCACCUCCCGGAGGUCCGCAAUUUGGAAUAUUAUAAGGCGGUGAAUGUUUCUCGUGCAGUGGCUACGCCAAAAUCAUAGGAAAAACCAAAAAGUCGGUCUUUUGUUUGUCUCUGUUUUGUGGCAAUGGUUUGAUUCAGUGGUUGUAUUUGGAGGACCUGAUCGCAGGUUGCUAAACAUCUUUCCUUACUUUUUUCUAGGUGUAAACUUUGCCCACGAUUUUGAAGCACUCACUCAAGCAAAGAAAUUAAGACGAUUUAAUUGCACUUAGGGGUUACAUAGAUGUGUUUGUUUGUGAAUAAAUACAAAUAAAAAAGCC